GACGAACGCUGGCGGCGUGCUUAACACAUGCAAGUCGAACGGGUCUGCCCUGUUUUUUGCGGGGUGGGUUAGUGGCGAACGGGUGAGUAACACGUGAGUAACCUGCCCCUCACUUCUGGAUAACCGCUUGAAAGGGUGGCUAAUACGGGGUGUUCUGGCUGUGCCGCAUGGUGUGGUUGGGAAAGAUUCACUUUUGUGGUGUUUUGGUGGGGUAUGGGCUCGCGGCGUAUCUGCUUGUUGGUGGGGUGAUGGCCUGCCAAGGCUUUGACGGGUAGCCGGCCUGGGAGGGUGGGCGGUCACACUGGGACUGAGAGACGGCCCAGACUACUGCGGGAGGCAGCAGUGGGGGGUAUUGAACAAUGGGCGGAAGCAUGAUGCAGCGACGUCGCGUGAGGGAUGGAGGCCUUCGGGUUGUGAACCUCUUUCGGCGGUGAAGAAGGUCCUGCUCUUUGAGGUGGGGUUGACGGUAGCCGGGUUAUGAAGCGCCGGCUAACUACGUG
rnacentral:rRNA from 1 species